rnacentral:rRNA from 1 species
CCCAGUAAACGGCGGCCGUAACAAUAACGGUCCUAAGGUAGCGAAAUUCCUUGUCGGGUAAGUUCCGACCUGCACGAAUGGCAUAAUGAUGGGGGCGCUGUCUCCAGCAGAGACUCAGUGAAAUCGAAUUCGCCGUGAAGAUGCGGUGUACCCGCGGCUAGACGGAAAGACCCCGUGAACCUUUACUGCAGCUUGACAUUGAACUUUGAUCUUACUUGUGUAGGAUAGGUGGGAGGCUUUGAAACCGAGACGCUAGUUUCGGUGGAGCCAAUCUUGAAAUACCACCCUGGUAAUAUUGAGGUUCUAACUCUGUCCCGUUAUCCGGGACGAGGACCAUGUCUGGUGGGUAGUUUGACUGGGGCGGUCUCCUCCUAAAGAGUAACGGAGGAGUACGAAGGUGCGCUCAGCGUGGUCGGAAAUCACGCGUAGAGUAUAAAGGCAAAAGCGCGCUUAACUGCGAGACCCACAAGUCGAGCAGGUACGAAAGUAGGUCUUAGUGAUCCGGUGGUUCUGUAUGGAAGGGCCAUCGCUCAACGGAUAAAAGGUACUCCGGGGAUAACAGGCUGAUACCGCCCAAGAGUUCAUAUCGACGGCGGUGUUUGGCACCUCGAUGUCGGCUCAUCACAUCCUGGGGCUGAAGUCGGUCCCAAGGGUAUGGCUGUUCGCCAUUUAAAGUGGUACGCGAGCUGGGUUUAGAACGUCGUGAGACAGUUCGGUCCCUAUCUGCCGUGGACGUUUGAGAUUUGAGAGGGGCUGCUCCUAGUACGAGAGGACCGGAGUGGACGAACCUCUGGUGUUCCGGUUGUCACGCCAGUGGCAUUGCCGGGUAGCUAUGUUCGGAAAAGAUAACCGCUGAAAGCAUCUAAGCGGGAAACUUGCCUCAAGAUGAGAUCUCACUGGGACCUUGAGUCCCCUGAAGGGCCGUCGAAGACUACGACGUUGAUAGGUGGGGU